rnacentral:rRNA from 1 species
ACCCAGACUCCUACGGGAGGCAGCAGUGGGGGAUAUUGCACAAUGGGGGAAACCCUGAUGCAGCGACGCCGCGUGUGGGAAGACGGUCUUCUGGAUUGUAAACCACUGUCCCCAGGGACGAAAAUGACGGUACCUGGGGAGGAAGCUCCGACUAACUACGUGCCAGCAGCCGCGGUAAUACGUAGGGGGCAAGCGUUAUCCGGAUUUACUGGGUGUAAAGGGAGCGUAGACGGCCAUGCAAGUCUGAUGUGAAAACCCGGGGCUCAACCCCGGGACUGCAUUGGAAACUGUGCGGCUGGAGUGUCGGAGAGGCAAGUGGAAUUCCUAGUGUAGCGGUGAAAUGCGUAGAUAUUAGGAGGAACACCAGUGGCGAAGGCGGCUUGCUGGACGACGACUGACGUUGAGGCUCGAAAGCGUGGGGAGCAAACAGGAUUAGAUACCCUUGUAACC